AUGGCUGCCCAGUUUGAGGUUGAUGCUGGGCGGCCAUGUGUGGUUGGGAGUCGUCUGCACCUUAGCCCUCUCAUAGACUCUAGCAACAAGAGCUUGAAGGAGAGUUCAGGUGGCACCCAUGGGCCACUUAUUUUUCCCUCUGAGCCUAACAAACCUGCCCCGGGUCCCAAGCCUAGACUCACCCCAAAACCUUUCACUGUGGAGAAAAAUCCUACUAUACGCCCCAUUUUUGCUCCUAAACCACAGCCAAAACUUGAACCCAGUAGACCAGUUUCCUCCAAACCAGACCUGCCUAGCACACCUAAACCACAGCCAGUCAGUAAACCCAGUGUACCACCUGCCUUUAAAAUGGGCCCGAAGCCCAGUGGGCAAACAAACAAACCUGUGGCACAACCCUUUAAACUAGCACCUACCAUCGCCUUUACUGAUUCCAGCAAAUUUAGUACAACACAAACCGGGGAUGUGCUGAGAAGAACAAGCUUUGAAGCCUCACCAGCUCGACCCAAAACUGAUUUUCAGGCCUCCACUCCUGGUACUGAAUGGCCUUUUGCUUCUCGGAAGAAACAGCCUGGCCCUUCAAUCACUCGUGCUAAAUCACUGGGCUUUCUCUCAGAGAUCGGACUGAAUAAUGAGGAGAGUAAAGAGGAUUCUGGUGCCAAUGAUGAGUGUUCUUCUACUGUUCUUCGCCCCCAAUCUAAAGGUUCAAGACCCAGACCGGUUUCAGCUGUGUUCCUCCAAAACCCCACUAUGCCUGAGUUUCAGGUUGUAUCCCCUACACCUGCUCCUCGUUGGACAAAAGGACGACCCCUUUCAUCUGAUCUUACCUCAAAGUUUGAGUCAAUUGGGCUGUCCCUAAACCGGCGACCUACCAAGGAGGACGGCAAAGAAAACACUCCUCAAAUGCCAGAGGGUGUUGGAGCUAAGACUCAAGAGAAAGAACACAGUGCUGAAAAGGCAGAAGGGUCAAAAAAGUCCCCUGUGCUUGAGAAAAGGUCUCAAAAGAUUGAAUCAAAAGAUGAAGACUCCAAGAAAGACUCUAAACCCGAGGAGACAGGAGGUAGCAGUAUAAAGAGACGCAUUAGUCUACUCUUAGACUCUUCUUCCUCCUCCUUCUCAGUGGCACGUGUGGAUACUCCAGGGACUGAGCCACGCUCACCGGGGCUGUCUGUCUCUGAUACUGAUGGAGCAGUGGGGGUGAAACAGCGAAAAGUUUGA
rnacentral:lncRNA from 1 species